UAUCUGUGGUGCUGCAGCCUUACUUCACCUUGCCUGUUCUCCUCUGCAGGACAAGGGCAGUCAUGCUGUAGUUUGUUGCGAAAGUCAAAUUCGGCAUGACAGUAAGCCCACUGUGCCCCAAUCAUAUAUUCAAUUAGAGGGGGAGGGGACCUUUGGUUUACAGGAAUAGUUGUGGGUGUGGCAGUUCCAACCUAGCUCCCAAAGGUAAGGAAAGUCAAUGGCCUUUGAUUCUCACGCCAUGAGGGCAUGAGAUCUGAUGUCCAGUCUGUCAAGCUUGGUUCCAGGACCCGGGCAGGCAGUCUGCUCAGUGGGGUGGAACCUACCCCACCCAAGAACAAAGGUUCAGGGCUGGGCAAGGACAGACCAAGCCUGAGGUCUCGGGAGGCUCAGAUGGCAAGGGAGCCAGACUAGGAGGCAGGGAGACUAGGGAGCCUCCUUCCAGACUAGGAGGCAGGGAGACUUGCAAGAGGCUAGACUCAGCAGUAAAGUGAGCUGUUGUUCCAGCAAGAGCUAUUUGCUUGUGUGAGGCUUAGAAAGGCUCAGAGCCUAGAGCUGGUGGCUCAUCAGUGUGAGUAGCUGGGGCUGGUUGUUCCCUGGAUUCCAAGAGACCCCUACUCCCAAGGGGCCAUUCUUGAGAGAAGGCAGGCCAAGCAGCCAGUCUGGCACUUCUCCUCCAUUGUUGCAACUCUGCCCUCAUCCACUGGUGCUGACAGUAAAGCCUCAAACCCGCAGUAAAGCCUGCUGUCUGGGAAAGCUCCUGGGAAAAGAGACUGCAAUGAGUAACUGAACUUAUGCUGCUGCAGUCUCAGUCCAAAUCCUGGAGCCUUGAGAGAUGGGAGAUAAUGAACUGCUGGCUUCCACAUAAACAUCCGAGCCAACCUCGACACUCAAAUCCUACAUGAUGCAGCCAGCCUACAAAACUUUGAUCAGCUUCAGAGACUGUCAUAACUGAUGAUGUCAACCACCAUUCCUAAGUGAAAAUAGCCUGCCCUGCAAGCCACAAACUGAAGUUUGGUUUCAUGUGGCUGGAAUGUGUCCUUGUACUUGUACUAUCUAUGCCACUCUUGCUAAGGUUAAAAAAAAUAAAAAUGGGACAAGCAUG